GCGAAUCAUACACCUCCGCCAUGCAUGUGUAAGUAUAAAUAAUUCUACUUUGAAACUGCGAAUGGCUCAUUAUAUCAGUUAUAGUUUAUUAGAAAUAAUUUACUACUUGGAUAACCGUAGUAAUUCUAGGGCUAAUACAUGAGUAAAUCCUCGACUUUGAAGAGGUGUGUUUAUUAGUAUGAAAACCAUAUGCUUUUGCAUAAUAGUGAGUAAUAAUAACCUUUCAUAUCGUAUGUUGUAAUAACGAUAGUUCUUUCAAGUUUCUGCCCUAUCAGCUUUCGAUGGUAGUGCAUUGGACUACCAUGGCAGUAACGGGUAACGAAGAAUUUGGGUUCGAUUUCGGAGAGGGAGCCUGAGAGAUGGCUACCACAUCCAAGGAAGGCAGCAGGCGCGUAAAUUACCCAAUCCUGACAUAGGGAGGUAGUGACAAUAAAUCACAAUGCGGGACUUUUAGUUUUGCAAUUGGAUUGAGAACAAUGUAAAAGAGUUAUCGAUAAACAAUUGGAGGGCAAGUCUGGUGCCAGCAGCCGCGGUAAUUCCAGCUCCAAUAGCGUAUAUUAACGUUGUUGCAGUAAAAAAAAGCUCA
rnacentral:rRNA from 1 species